GGGUUGUGAGGUUAAGCGACUAAGCGUACACGGUGGAUGCCCUGGCAGUCAGAGGCGAUGAAGGACGUGCUAAUCUGCGAUAAGCGUCGGUAAGGUGAUAUGAACCGUUAUAACCGGCGAUUUCCGAAUGGGGAAACCCAGUGUGAUUCGUCACACUAUCAUUAACUGAAUCCAUAGGUUAAUGAGGCGAACCGGGGGAACUGAAACAUCUAAGUACCCCGAGGAAAAGAAAUCAACCGAGAUUCCCCCAGUAGCGGCGAGCGAACGGGGAGCAGCCCAGAGCCUGAAUCAGUGUGUGUGUUAGUGGAAGCGUCUGGAAAGGCGCGCGAUACAGGGUGACAGCCCCGUACACAAAAAUGCACAUACUGUGAGCUCGAUGAGUAGGGCGGGACACGUGGUAUCCUGUCUGAAUAUGGGGGGACCAUCCUCCAAGGCUAAAUACUCCUGACUGACCGAUAGUGAACCAGUACCGUGAGGGAAAGGCGAAAAGAACCCCGGCGAGGGGAGUGAAAAAGAACCUGAAACCGUGUACGUACAAGCAGUGGGAGCACGCUUAGGCGUGUGACUGCGUACCUUUUGUAUAAUGGGUCAGCGACUUAUAUUCUGUAGCAAGGUUAACCGAAUAGGGGAGCCGAAGGGAAACCGAGUCUUAACUGGGCGUUAAGUUGCAGGGUAUAGACCCGAAACCCGGUGAUCUAGCCAUGGGCAGGUUGAAGGUUGGGUAACACUAACUGGAGGACCGAACCGACUAAUGUUGAAAAAUUAGCGGAUGACUUGUGGCUGGGGGUGAAAGGCCAAUCAAACCGGGAGAUAGCUGGUUCUCCCCGAAAGCUAUUUAGGUAGCGCCUCGUGAAUUCAUCUCCGGGGGUAGAGCACUGUUUCGGCAAGGGGGUCAUCCCGACUUACCAACCCGAUGCAAACUGCGAAUACCGGAGAAUGUUAUCACGGGAGACACACGGCGGGUGCUAACGUCCGUCGUGAAGAGGGAAACAACCCAGACCGCCAGCUAAGGUCCCAAAGUCAUGGUUAAGUGGGAAACGAUGUGGGAAGGCCCAGACAGCCAGGAUGUUGGCUUAGAAGCAGCCAUCAUUUAAAGAAAGCGUAAUAGCUCACUGGUCGAGUCGGCCUGCGCGGAAGAUGUAACGGGGCUAAACCAUGCACCGAAGCUGCGGCAGCGACGCUUAUGCGUUGUUGGGUAGGGGAGCGUUCUGUAAGCCUGUGAAGGUGUGCUGUGAGGCAUGCUGGAGGUAUCAGAAGUGCGAAUGCUGACAUAAGUAACGAUAAAGCGGGUGAAAAGCCCGCUCGCCGGAAGACCAAGGGUUCCUGUCCAACGUUAAUCGGGGCAGGGUGAGUCGACCCCUAAGGCGAGGCCGAAAGGCGUAGUCGAUGGGAAACAGGUUAAUAUUCCUGUACUUGGUGUUACUGCGAAGGGGGGACGGAGAAGGCUAUGUUGGCCGGGCGACGGUUGUCCCGGUUUAAGCGUGUAGGCUGGUUUUCCAGGCAAAUCCGGAAAAUCAAGGCUGAGGCGUGAUGACGAGGCACUACGGUGCUGAAGCAACAAAUGCCCUGCUUCCAGGAAAAGCCUCUAAGCAUCAGGUAACAUCAAAUCGUACCCCAAACCGACACAGGUGGUCAGGUAGAGAAUACCAAGGCGCUUGAGAGAACUCGGGUGAAGGAACUAGGCAAAAUGGUGCCGUAACUUCGGGAGAAGGCACGCUGAUAUGUAGGUGAAGUCCCUCGCGGAUGGAGCUGAAAUCAGUCGAAGAUACCAGCUGGCUGCAACUGUUUAUUAAAAACACAGCACUGUGCAAACACGAAAGUGGACGUAUACGGUGUGACGCCUGCCCGGUGCCGGAAGGUUAAUUGAUGGGGUCAGCGCAAGCGAAGCUCUUGAUCGAAGCCCCGGUAAACGGCGGCCGUAACUAUAACGGUCCUAAGGUAGCGAAAUUCCUUGUCGGGUAAGUUCCGACCUGCACGAAUGGCGUAAUGAUGGCCAGGCUGUCUCCACCCGAGACUCAGUGAAAUUGAACUCGCUGUGAAGAUGCAGUGUACCCGCGGCAAGACGGAAAGACCCCGUGAACCUUUACUAUAGCUUGACACUGAACAUUGAGCCUUGAUGUGUAGGAUAGGUGGGAGGCUUUGAAGUGUGGACGCCAGUCUGCAUGGAGCCGACCUUGAAAUACCACCCUUUAAUGUUUGAUGUUCUAACGUUGACCCGUGAUCCGGGUUGCGGACAGUGUCUGGUGGGUAGUUUGACUGGGGCGGUCUCCUCCUAAAGAGUAACGGAGGAGCACGAAGGUUGGCUAAUCCUGGUCGGACAUCAGGAGGUUAGUGCAAUGGCAUAAGCCAGCUUGACUGCGAGCGUGACGGCGCGAGCAGGUGCGAAAGCAGGUCAUAGUGAUCCGGUGGUUCUGAAUGGAAGGGCCAUCGCUCAACGGAUAAAAGGUACUCCGGGGAUAACAGGCUGAUACCGCCCAAGAGUUCAUAUCGACGGCGGUGUUUGGCACCUCGAUGUCGGCUCAUCACAUCCUGGGGCUGAAGUAGGUCCCAAGGGUAUGGCUGUUCGCCAUUUAAAGUGGUACGCGAGCUGGGUUUAGAACGUCGUGAGACAGUUCGGUCCCUAUCUGCCGUGGGCGCUGGAGAACUGAGGGGGGCUGCUCCUAGUACGAGAGGACCGGAGUGGACGCAUCACUGGUGUUCGGGUUGUCAUGCCAAUGGCACUGCCCGGUAGCUAAAUGCGGAAGAGAUAAGUGCUGAAAGCAUCUAAGCACGAAACUUGCCCCGAGAUGAGUUCUCCCUGACUCCUUGAGAGUCCUGAAGGAACGUUGAAGACGACGACGUUGAUAGGCCGGGUGUGUAAGCGCAGCGAUGCGUUGAGCUAACCGGUACUAAUGAACCGUGAGGCUUAACCUUACAACGCCGAAGGUGUUU
rnacentral:rRNA from 1 species